rnacentral:sRNA from 1 species
AUGUACGAGGCGUAGACUGCGGUCCCCGCGCGCCGUCCGCAUCCAGCUGACGACUGUUCGCUACGUUUUGUCAGCC